rnacentral:rRNA from 1 species
AAUCCUUUAACAAGGACCUAUUGGAGGGCAAGUCUGGUGCCAGCAGCCGCGGUAACUCCAGCUCCAAUAGCGUAUAUUAAAGUUGUUGCGGUUAAAACGUUCGUAGUUGAACUUGUGCUUCAUACGGGUAGUAUAACUAUAAUUGUAGUCUGUACUAUACCUUAUGUAUGUAAGCGUAUUACCGGUGGAGUUCUUAUAUAUAUUAAAUACUUGUAUUUAUAUGUAUUCCUCCUAUUUAAACCUGCUUCAGUGCUCUUCAUUGCGUGCUGUUGUAGGCCGGUACAAUUACUUUGAACAAAUUAGAGUGCUUAAAGCAGGCUCCAAAUGCCUGAAUAUUUUGUGCAUGGAAUAAUGAAAUAAGACCUCUGUUCUACUUUCAUUGGUUUUUAGAUCAAGAGGUAAUGAUUAAUAGAAGCAGUUUGGGGGCAUUAGUAUUACGACGCGAGAGGUGAAAUUCUUGGACCGUCGUAAGACUAACUUAAGCGAAAGCAUUUGCCAAAGAUGUUUUCAUUAAUCAAGAACGAAAGUUAGAGGUUCGAAGGCGAUCAGAUACCGCCCUAGUUCUAACCAUAAACGAUGCCAGCUAGCAAUUGGGUGUAGCUACUAUUAUGGCUCUCUCAGUCGCUUCCCGGGAAACCAAAGCUUUUGGGCUCCGGGGGAAGUAUGGUUGCAAAGCUGAAACUUAAAGGAAUUGACGGGAGGGCACCACCAGGAGUGGAGCCUGCGGCUUAAUUUGACUCAACACGGGAAAACUUACCAGGUCCGAACAUAAGCGUGUAAGACAGAUUGAUAGCUCUUUCUCGAAUCUAUGGGGGUGGUGCAUGGCCGUUCUUAGUUCGUGGAGUGAUUUGUCUGGUUAAUUCCGAUAACGAACGAGACUCAAAUAUAUUAAAUAGAUGCUUUCAGGAUUAUGGUGUUUGAAGCUUUUAUAGCCUUCAUUCAUGAAUGCAGUAACAUGUGUGAGUGUUAGAAUGUGUUUAUAAAGGUGGAGCCGUACCUGUUGGUUUGUCCCAUUAUAAGGACACUAGCUUCUUAAAUGGACAAAUUGCGUCUAGCAAUAAUGAGAUUGAGCAAUAACAGGUCUCUCAUGCCCUUAGAUGUCCUGGGCUGCACGCGCGCUACAAUGAAAGUAUCAACGUGUAUUUCCUAGACCGAGAGGUCCGGGUAAACCGCUGAACCACUUUCAUGCUUGGGAUUGUGAACUGAAACUGUUCACAUGAACUUGGAAUUCCCAGUAAGUGUGAGUCAUUAACUCGCAUUGAUUACGUCCCUGCCCUUUGUACACACCGCCCGUCGCUACUACCGAUUGAAUUAUUUAGUGAGGUCUCCGGACGUGAUCACUGUAACGCCUUGCGUGUUACGGAUGUUUCGCAAAAGUUGACCGAACUUGAUUAUUUAGAGGAAGUAAAAGUC